GAGGAUGCAGCUAAGCGUCAGUCACUUGUGGCUUAUCAUAGAUCUUUAACAUAAAUCAGAGAAAUAAUGAAAAUUAAGGGAAAAGGUUUGACAUGGCCAGUAUCAUCACACGAAACAUAAUAUUGCAACACUGUCAUUGGGAAUUGUCUGCAACACAGACAGAUGCUUCCUCACCGUUGGCAUAUGGGAACUAACACAUUCAACCUGAAAAUGAACCUGAGUAGUUACAGCUGAACUGUGCUGCUGCAUGUGUUGGAAACCUCUCCUUCACCUAAGUAAUCCUGAUGCUUCUUGCUCCAUCUAGUUAGCUCCAAAGCUUUGAAAUUAAUACUGGCAAGUCAAAGUCAGUGCAGAACCGCUGUGCUCAUUGCUGGCUGAAUAAACAGCAGAGAAGAAAAGGGCCAGGAGCAGUGUGAGCUGAUAGCAUCGUCCUUUCAAUUCUUGUGGAACUGAUGAUUUAGCAUCCACUUCCAUGAACUGCAGAAGUGAGAUGGAUGCUGCUCCACUCCAAGA